rnacentral:rRNA from 1 species
AUUGAACGCUGGCGGCAUGCCUUACACAUGCAAGUCGAGCGGCAGCGCGGGGGCAACCCUGGCGGCGAGCGGCGCACGGGUGAGUAAUACAUCGGAACGUGUCCUUUCGUGGGGGAUAACCAGUCGAAAGACUGGCUAAUACCGCAUGAGAUCUCACGAUGAAAGCGGGGGACCGCAAGGCCUCGCGCGAUUGGAGCGGCCGAUGUCGGAUUAGCAGUUGGCGGGGUAAAAGCCCACCAAGGCGACGAUCCGUAGCUGGUUUGAGAGAACGACCAGCCACACUGGGACUGAGACACGGCCCAGACUCCUACGGGAGGCAGCAGUGGGGAAUUUGGACAAUGGGGGCAACCCUGAUCCAGCCAUGCCGCGUGUGUGAAGAAGGCC